AGGAGGAGGGCGGAGCGAGCAAGGCAAGAAAGGGAUGGAGAAGAAUCGCAAUAUCCUGACGUAAUAAUCAAAUAUCUUGAAAGUCAGGCUAUGCGGCCUAAGCCUGCUCCUAAAAAAGCUUUUGAAAUCCCGAUCUUAGAAGAUGAUCAACACUUGGAUCCAACUUAUUAUCACUUCAAACGGUUGAAUGCAAUUGCAAAUCGCAAGUACACAGGAGGCG